AUGCAAUCGCACGAGAAAGGGGAGCAAUCCCUGAGUAAAGUGGCGCACGGGUGAGUAACACGUGAAUUAUCUACCUCCGAGUGGGGAAUAACUGAGAGAAAUCUUAGCUAAUACCGCAUAACACUUACGAGUCAAAGCAGCAAUGCGCUUGGAGAGGAGUUCGCGGCCGAUUAGUUAGUUGGCGGGGUAAUGGCCCACCAAGACGAUGAUCGGUAUCCGGCCUGAGAGGGCGCACGGACACACUGGAACUGAAACACGGUCCAGACUCCUACGGGAGGCAGCAGUGGGGAAUUUUGCGCAAUGGGGGAAACCCUGACGCAGCAACGCCGCGUGGAGGAUGAAAUAUCUUGGUAUGUAAACUCCUUUCGAUGGGGAAGAUUAUGACGGUACCCAUAGAAGAAGCCCCGGCUAACUUCGUGCCAGCAGCCGCGGUAAUACGAGGGGGGCAAGCGUUGUUCGGAUUUAUUGGGCGUAAAGGGUGCGUAGGCGGUUUGGCAAGUCUGAUGUGAAAUCUAUGGGCUCAACCCAUAGUCUGCAUCAGAAACUGCCGGGCUUGAGUAUGGGAGAGGUGAGUGGAAUU
rnacentral:rRNA from 1 species